AUACGUAGGGGGCAAGCGUUGUCCGGAAUUAUUGGGCGUAAAGGGCGCGCAGGCGGUCUUUUAAGUCUUGUGUUUAAACCCGGGGCUCAGCCUCGGGACGCACGGGAAACUGGGAGGCUUGAGUGCAGGAGAGGAAAGUGGAAUUCCACGUGUAGCGGUGAAAUGCGUAGAGAUGUGGAGGAACACCAGUGGCGAAGGCGACUUUCUGGCCUGCAACUGACGCUGAGGCGCGAAAGCGUGGGGAGCGAACAGGAUUAGAUACCCUGGUAGUCCACGCCGUAAACGAUGAAUGCUAGGUGUUAGGGAGCACGAACUCCUUAGUGCCGAAGUCAACACAUUAAGCAUUCCGCCUGGGGAGUACGGUCGCAAGACUGAA
rnacentral:rRNA from 1 species